ACCGCUGUAGCCCGGAUGGUAGAGGCCUCCCAGUUCAGAUGGCGAAGUUCGCUAGUUCAAAACCAGCCUGCGGUG